rnacentral:lncRNA from 1 species
UGAACUUGGGAUCCACCUGCCUCAACCUCUCAAAGUGCUGGUAUACAGGCAUGUGCCACCUCAACCGGCUGAUGCUGUGUGUGUGUGUUAACAACUUUGCAUGGAAAAACAAGGAGGCCUUUCGUCAGAGAGCUGCCGCUUGGCACCAUAAGCCCACCUCUCCUGCAAAGCUUAGAAGCUUCCUUUCCUAGAGCAUCUCCUUGGAAGUAUAACUUGACCCUUCUGAUUAAAUGAGAGAAUACACAAAACAAAAACAACUAAAGUGCACUGCAACGUGUCUUCAAAAUCGAGCUGUCUACCGCUGCUUCAGGACUAGAUCAUUUAUCACUAGUGCUAUGGAUCAAACCUUGGGCCUUACACAUACUAGGUAAGUGCUCUACCACCAAGCUACAACUCCAGCC